rnacentral:tRNA from 1 species
AGCCAUUUAGCUAUAAAAGUAAGCCUUUUGAAAGUGCUAGAAAGGAAAUUCCUCGUGGCCU